GGAAGAAAGUGAUGAUGAUAUGGGAUUCAGUUUGUUCGAUUAGAAAGCUACCGUUAGUAUGAUCUGUUCUUUUGUUUCCAGAAUAUAUUGGUUAAAGUUUUAGUUUUGAUGUUUGAGAUAUUUGGAAAGUGUAAGAGUUAACAUUUAAUCAUGAUUUUGUUCUAGUUUUUUGCCGUAGUUUGAGCCAUUUUUGUCAGUUCAGUCAAAUGUUUGUCCCUCUAUUGUUAC
rnacentral:misc_RNA from 1 species